UACGAAGGGGGCUAGCGUUGCUCGGAAUCACUGGGCGUAAAGCGCACGUAGGCGGCUUUUUAAGUCAGAGGUGAAAUCCUGGAGCUCAACUCCAGAACUGCCUUUGAUACUGGAGAGCUUGAGUCCGGGAGAGGUGAGUGGAACUGCGAGCGUAGAGGUGAAAUUCGUAGAUAUUCGCAAGAACACCAGUGGCGAAGGCGGCUCACUGGCCCGGUACUGACGCUGAGGUGCGAAAGCGUGGGGAGCAAACAGG
rnacentral:rRNA from 1 species